rnacentral:rRNA from 1 species
GACGAACGCUGGCGGCGCGCUUAACACAUGCAAGUCGAACGGAAAGGCCUGCUUUCCCUUGUGGAUUGCGGGUACUCGAGUGGCGAACGGGUGAGUAACACGUGAGUGAUCUGCCCCCAACUUGGGUAUAAGCCUGGGAAACUGGGUCUAAUUCCCGAUAGGACUGCAGGGUGGUGCCUGUGGUGGAAAACGAUUUUCUAGUGGUUGGGGAUGAGCUGGCGGCCUAUCAGCUUGUUGGUGGGGUAAUGUCCUACCAAGGCGGCGACGGGUAGCCGGCCUGGGAGGGUGGACGGCGGAAUUGGGACUGGGUUACGGCCCAGACGCCUGCGGGAAGCAGCAGUGGGGAAGAUUGCAGAAUGAGCGGAAGCCUGAUGCAGCGACGCCGCGUGGGGGAUGACGGCCUUCGGGUUGUAAACUACUUGCGACCGAGAGGAAGCCACCUGGUUGGAAGGGUGGUGACGGUAGUGGUAGAAGAAGCACCGGCUAACUACGUG